GCGGGUGCAGCUUAGGGUUAGAGCUUUCGCUUCGCAUGCUAAAACUCAGGGGUUCGAAUCCCCGCUCCCGUA